rnacentral:piRNA from 1 species
GCAGGACUAGACUCAGAAGUGACC